UCCCAGGUGGCUCAGUGGUAAAGCAUGGCUGCCAAGCAGGAGACCCAGGUUUGAUCCCUGGGUUGGGAA
rnacentral:tRNA from 1 species